GUUAAUGUAGCUUAAAAUUAAAGCAAAGCAUUGAAAAUGCUUAGAUGAGCUUGCAAGCUCCAUAAACA
rnacentral:tRNA from 1 species